UGGUGAGCAUGCUCCAGGCAAGGGAAAAGAGAAAAUGGAUGAACAAAUUGAAUCAUCGAGUAGCGACAGUGAUGACCACUAUGUACACCCACACGAAUGAGCUGCUAGAAGACUGCAAAGGGCUGAGAACAGAGGUGAACCAAUACAAACGAACCGCCGACCAGGGAGCAUCCAUAUCUCAGGUGGUUUAGAGAAUGUGCCGAUCGCAGUGCGAGCACCACGUAGUUUGAGCCGGGUGAGGGCCAAACUUCAGUAUAGAGGCACUGGGUGGCAAGGAGGAAGCAGCAGCAGUGUGCUUUCGAGGGCUCUGAACAGUGAAGGGAUCUCAACGGAAGGGGGUUUGGUCCGUCGAGCUGUGGAUGGAAAUAAUCCGUCAGAUGAACUAACGGCAAUAAGCAACAGGCUAAAAACUCAUCGAAUACACAAGAAGUCAGAAGGGUUUGUCGCUCAGGAUACAUGAAUCGAACCUAGUUGUCUCGGACGAUAUUGAUGAGCCAGCUAACAAUGGGAGAGCCGAACGGCUGAGGAGCCUGGCCAUAGCAGCUCUGAACUUGGUCGAACGAGCUGUUGACAAUCUAGAAUUGUUUGAUGGAAUCUUCGAGGAAGCUACAAAUUUGCUAUCAGGAUUGGGCUUAGGUGGUAACAGUAGAGAGCCCUCAACUCCAGUUCAUGCACAUGGCAAUGGCAACCCAGCGGUCGAAAGAAAUGAUGAGAAAGACGACAUUGAUUGGGAUGAUCUUGAGAACAAAAGCCCACCACUUGCAAUGCAGGAACAGAUUGAUGGUGACAAUCUGUUAGCGAGGAACCUGGAAGUCCUGUACAAUGAAUCAGAUAUGCAUGAUGCGCCAGUAAACGUUGCAUCAAAGAUUCAGGAAGAUAUCGUGGGGGGGUGAAUUGGCAGUGAUUGGCACGCCAAAUGCGGCAGCAGAUGAUGAGAACAUGGAGCAGCAGAUUGCCUUGACUCUAUUAGAAGACGUGAUUUGUGAAGACCACAUAAAUUACCUGCUAUCAUGUAUGAACACUUGCAUCCGAUGGAUUGCCUGGAUUGGAGCAACAAUGGUAGUUGGGAGUGGGUGGCCCGGCGACGAUACAAAUGUUGAUCCUCCAUGCAAUGGAAUGAUACUACUCGGUUGGCAUGAUGAAGGAUACGAGGCACAAGCUAAAGCGAGCAGGGAAGGGGUCCGCAAUAGCCAGAAGAAGAAAUCACGAAGACGAUUUGUGGAUGUUACAACGAAUUGUCGUCCAGGACCAAGAUACCGUAGGGAAAGACGAAGACGGGGGUGACGGCCCUACUUUGUCAAGGACCUCGGUGCCCAAGACAGCAGGACCUCGACUACGUAGUUCGUAGUCUCGGUUGAUAGGAGCGCUAGGGUUUUUGCCUAACUGCUCAAUGGUGCAGGAGAAGAGAUUAGGAGUAGAG